UAAUUUGAUUUUUCAAUUUCAACAUCGAAUUUACUGAAAUCGAAAUUAGUCGGCGGAGGUGGAGAGAGUUGGUGAUGGCGGCAGCCACUUUCAGAUAUUUGGUGCAGCUACACAGAGACGUUCCCAAAGCGGCGAGAUUUUAUUCGGAGGGUCUUGGCUUCACCAUUGAUGUCUGCACUCUCCGAUGGGCCGAGCUCCAUUCCGGCCCGCUCAAGCUCUCCCUCCUCCAUUCUCCCAGCAACCGUGCUGAACAGAAGGGUUAUUCGUCGCUCCUAUCCUUCACAGUAACGGACAUCAAUAGUACUGUGACGAAGUUGAUGACCUUAGGUGCCGAACUGGAUGGCCCAAUCAAGCAUGAAAUCCAUGGAAAGGUGGCAGCGAUGAAGUGUGCUGAUGGGCAUGUGUUAGGUCUGUACGAGCCUGCUUAGAAGCUCCAGAAAUGAGUGUUGCAACGGUAAUGACAAAUUGAUAGAACAAAAUGUAACUUUCUGGUGCAUACACAGUUGUGAUUUUUGCAGUUUGAAGGAAGGUUUUUCGGGAGAUGCUUGAUGGCAUAGAAGCAAGGCUUUCUCUCACUGUUGACGAUGCUCCUGAUAUAAUUUUGUAGUGGUAGUGCAAGUUGGCCACCUUUUGGCAUGAGGAUAAAUAUGAUGGAUCUCUCUUCCACCAUCUUUCUGCAUGUCAUUUCAGCAAAUUUGCAUUUUCUUCGCGCAUUAUAUCUUCCGUCUUUGUCUUGUAUCAUUAUUGAGUGCAAAUGGGUCGAGCACAGACGACAAAAACCAGGUACCCAAUUCGUCCUUUAACUCUAGGGCUGCCAAGAUGAGUUAGGGUAAUCUAUUUUUGGAAAUAAAGAUAUUAUUGAGUUAGAAAUGUAAUGGAAUGGAAAAAAAGAAGAAUUUUUUUUGUGGGUGGAAAUAAGAGACUUGGUUGACUA